AGAAACAGCGCCAUCUCCUGGCGCCUCAUGAGUACCGCCCACGCAAACAGGUCGCUGAAGCUGUAUACAAACGCUGGCAGCCGUGCAUUCCCACAGUGCCAUCGUCAACCAGCAGAAAGUGGGAGUGCUGACUGUUCAAAGACAUCCUCUUACUCAGAGGGUUCCCCAGAGUCUGGUAGGGUCGGACAACCUGGGUCGGGGAACCACAGCUCAAGCACAGCGGAGGACAACCAGGAAUUAAACAGCAUGUGCUGACCUCUGUAAUGCUCAAACAUCCAUAGUACCUCCUUAAACCGGAACAAUUCCAAUGAUGUGUCUUCUACGGAAAUCACGGGUGCCGUACAACUUAGCGGCAUCGCCCAAGUGCCUUGAUACACCUGGAAGAGCGGAAACAAGUGCAACGCAUUGUUGUCAAUGUUGAAGUCAUCCUUUAUCAAUCAGGGUACCCAGCAACAGAUGGAAAAAUCCACACAGAUUCAUAUCAAAAAUUUAACAGCUGCGAGAAGACGUGUAGGUCUGUCGAUUUGCGUGUCUUCACACAAAUACACGCUGGCGCACAAACCUCUGUUCAUCCCAUCCGUCAAGAUCCACGCUCCUGUUGACUCUGCAGCCUUGAUCAGACCCUUGCCAAACGUGUGCUUCACCUUCAUGGGAAGGUCGAAGUUCUCCAUACCUCCGUGAACAGAAAUGACCAGUUUUGGCAUUUCCAUCUGCCACUCGAUCAACAUUAGCUGAAGCAGCUGCUCUGGUUUGGCAUCGCAGGACAGCCGAACAUACUAAUGAAUAGCAUGGACAAUAGGAGACAGAGUGAAUAGAAUUUGCUUAUUUCCUUUAAUUUAUCUGAGUAACACAUUGACAAAAUAAUAAACAAUUGGUAUUGAUUUAAAACAAAAUUAA